AGAAUUUUAUUGCACAUCUCAUUCAUUUUUUCAAGAAUGUUGGACUGAUUUUCAAAGUGACCAAUACAUUUUAACUCUAUACCAUUGUUUCUGUCUAUAGUACCAUGCUUCUUAGUGCUAUGCCUAUUUUCAUAUAUCGUUCUCAUAUUAUAUACAGCAUUCCAUUGUAUAACGGUUCAUUUUUCAUUUUAUUAGUGGCUGCCAAACUGAUGGACAACCUUCUUGUGGUGAGCAACCCAUAUAGUCUGAUAAGCUCAAUCUGCCUCACACUUCUUCCAUGGCCACAGAAACAGCUAGCCAGAUGAAAGAAACUGUAUCUGCUGAUGCUAAAAAGAAAAGAAGCAAACUAAGUAUAAGGAUGCUCCACCCACUGCAAUUGAUCUUUUCAAGGAGUGCCAUUGCAAAAGCAAGAUGGGUUUUAAUGAGCCUGUAAAGAAUGUUAUUGUGAGUUACUUUUUUCUUUUAUCUUUUGCAAUUAUAUUUUAAUGAGAAUGAAAUGUGUUUUGUGAUUUCUUAUCUUCCUGUUGCUAGGCUGUGAUAGAAGUUAUCAUUGAUAAUCCUGCACAAGAAGGGCAAGAUAUGAUUGGACUUUGUAGAUAUGGUCAGUGAUGUAGAACUUUGUUUUGCUAUCUAGGAUAUGGUGGUACUGUUGUUUUGCUCACCGACUGAACCUAGUUUGCUCUCAUACUGUAUUUGGAAUGUGUCUGGUUUUGGAUGUUAACUAGGUUGUAAGAUUUAUGUUGUAUUGGAUGUUCGUCGGGUUGUGCUAUAUGGGUUGUUAUCGUGUUUGAUUGUUGGGCAUAUAUGGGCUUAGCCCACUUAUUAUUUGAUAUUAAUAUAAAUGAAUAUAUUAUGACGGGCUCAAAAUGGUGUGGUACAAUGUUUGGGCCUUUAUGGGCUUUUGCAAUGGACUUGUCACAUUUUGCAACGUGACGAAAAAUUCAAUGUUUGUGACGUAAAUGAAGCG